rnacentral:rRNA from 1 species
UGGGGAAUAUUGGGCAAUGGGGGAAACCCUGACCCAGCAACGCCGCGUGAAGGAAGAAGGUUUUCGGAUCGUAAACUUCUAUCCUUGGUGAAGAGAAGAAGACGGUAGCCAAGAAGGAAGCCCCGGCUAACUACGUGCCAGCAGCCGCGGUAAUACGUAGGGGGCAAGCGUUGUCCGGAAUGAUUGGGCGUAAAGGGCGCGUAGGCGGAUUGAUAAGUCAGUUGUGAAAGUUUGCGGCUCAACCGUAAAAUUGCAGUUGAUACUGUCAGUCUUGAGUACAGUAGAGGUAAGCGGAAUUCGUGGUGUAGCGGUGAAAUGCUUAGAUAUCACGAAGAACUCCAAUUGCGAAGGCAGCUUGCUGGACUGUUACUGACGCUGAGGCACGAAAGCGUGGGUAUCAAACA